rnacentral:lncRNA from 1 species
CUAAGGCUUCCACUAGAUGUUAACAGUCUUUAGAACCUUGUUUGAGGCUUCCACUGUGAAGUGGGGAUGAAUAAGAGCUCCUGGAGUCAGAUGACUGCCAGCAGGGCAUGAGCCUCAGCCAUGCGCGCUCACGUGAGAGGUAGCUCAGUUCCAUUGCAUUUCUGAAGACAAAGGAUUUCUCCGGUUUAAACUUUAUUGCGGAUUUAUGAUAAAAACAUCCUAAAGAUUGAUUCUAUACAUCGUUUGACAUGUUUCUACGAACUGUAAUUGAAUUUUUUGAGUUUUCGUCUGACCUUGUUGUGUUCGAGACCACCUAAAGCGAGACCGAUCCAAGACCGGAGCAAAUUCAGUUCAAAUCAAGACCAAGACCGGAGGGGUGGGCGAGAUCGAGUCAAGACCGAGACCGGGAGGGGGACAAGGGGUCUGAGAGACCAGAAAAAUGUGAGUCUAAUUCACGACCAUGACUGUCAUUUUGUCAAAUCACCACCAUAAUAAGAGUUCAAAAUGUCCAGUAUUUCUGUGUUCAUGUUUCAGUACAUAUUGAUUCUUUAGACAUUCAGAACAGUGAAUAAAUCCAUGCUGAGGUAAAAUAGAGCCACUCUACAAAUUAUUACUAACCCAAACACAGUGGGGAACAAUGGGUCUUCUACGCCUUCAGAGAAGGGCUAAGGAUAUAUGAAAUAAUGAUUAUAAUAAUACAAUAAUGAUAGUUAUAUUAUUAUUUUCAAUGAUGUUCUGAUUUAUCCCUGAAACUGAAUACAGUUAUCCCUGAAUCUGUAUUCAGUUUUUGUUGGAAAGGAAAGGGCUAACACUGAAGAGAAAAAAACAUCCAAUCAGGAUUUUUCUUUGCUGGUCUCUGGGGAGAUAAAUCUAGCUAACUUAGUUAAUCAUUGGCUAGCUAGGCCAUCACAAGCUAGAUAAAUGCAUCUGCCAUUCAACUGUAUUGGGUAACAUUUUGGAGUGAAUCAACCAAUCACAUUUUGACUUAAUGGGUGGGACAGUUUUUAGAAAACCUAUGGAAACUUCUCCCUUCUUGAAGGCCAACAGGUCACUGUGCAAUAGUGAGCAGUAGUUUUCCCACGAUCUAGCUAGCUAGCUUUUAUUGAUGGCUAGUUUGCAGCGUCUGCAGCAGGUGUUAUCAAAGAGGAUGUUGUUGCUAAUUUGAUACCGUCUCCCCUUUCAAGAAUAACUUUCCACAAGAAGUUAAGUUUCAAAUGAUCAUCAUCUGGUGAGUGGAACUGUGUUUUUUAUUGCAGCACGCUUCCUGUUGUUAGCCAUCUCUUUUAAAAUAACUUGUGUGUGUGAAACAUUGCUACAUUUAAAGUGGCGAUGACAGGAGAGGGACAGGAGAG